rnacentral:rRNA from 1 species
GUGCACCAGUCGAGAAUAGUCUACAAUGGACGAAAGUCUGAUAGUGCGACGCCGUGUGUGCGAUUAAUUCCUUCGGGAUGUAAAGCACUUUUCUAUGAGAUAAAAGCUCUUUAGGUUAAUAGCUUAUUGAGACGGAUAUUAUUAUAGGAAUAAGCUCCGGCUAACUCCGUGCCAGCAGCCGCGGUAAUACGGAAGGAGCGAGCGUUGUCCGGAUUUACUAGGCGUAAAGGGCUAGUAGGCGACUAAUUAAGUUAUAUGUUAAAUCCCACGGCUCAACUGUGGUCCUGCAUGUAAUACUAGUUAGAUAGAGUACUGUAGAGGAAGGCAGAAUUCCUGGAGUAGCGGUGGAAUGCGCAGAUAUCAGGAAGAAUACCAAAAGCGAAGGCAGCCUUCUGGGCAGUUACUGACGCUGAAUAGCGAAGGUGUGGGUAGCGAACAGGAUUAGAUACCCGGGUAGU